CAGAGUGGAGGGCCCUUGGGCCCGUGCUCCCAUCCUGUUGCCGUCUAGAAUGUGUUCUUGCCCCCGUGCCCCCUCUGAGCGGCCGGGCGGCGCCUCAGAUGACUCUGGUUGACUUUUGUCUCUGACUCGUAUGAGAAAUCAAACGA
rnacentral:misc_RNA from 1 species